rnacentral:lncRNA from 1 species
GGAACUAGGCUUGGAUGCUUGUAAUGAGGAGGAGUAACCCAUGGGAUGGUUGCUUGGCCCAGUUCCAGCCCAGAACCCACUAUUUUUCAUGGAAGGUCAAGAAAUUAGGAGUUAAGCCUAUGGACAUCUGCCUGGAGUGGUAUUUCCAAAUUGGUGUUUCUCCUCUGGAGGUUCAGUUUCAAAUUUAAUUAGCUAGCUAAUGAUAGUAAAUUACUAUAAUUAAUUGAUGAAUGCUAAAGUGCUUUGACUAAAAAGCAGUAUGCAUAAUUUUGAGGGCAGUUAAUUUCUUGUCUAACUUUGAGAACUAAUCUAGGAGAGAGACUUUU